GAAACCAACAGGGAUUGCCUCAGUAACGGCGAGUGAAGCGGCAAAAGCUCAAAUUUGAAACCCUCGGGAUUGUAAUUUGAAGAUUUGGCAUUGGAGAAAGCUAACCCAAGUUGCUUGGAAUAGUACGUCAUAGAGGGUGACAACCCCGUCUGGCUAACCGUUCUCCAUGUAUUGCCUUAUCAAAGAGUCGAGUUGUUUGGGAAUGCAGCUCAAAGUGGGUGGUAAACUCCAUCUAAAGCUAAAUACUGGUGAGAGACCGAUAGCGAACAAGUACUGUGAAGGAAAGGUGAAAAGAACUUUGAAAAGAGAGUGAAAUAGUAUGUGAAAUUGUUGAUAGGGAAGGAAAUGAGUGGAGAGUGGCCGAGGUUUCAGCCGCCCCUCGUGGGCGGUGUACUGCCGACGCCGAGUCAUCGAUAGCGAGACGAGGGUUACAAAUGGGAGCGCCUUCGGGCGUUCUCCCCUAACCCUCCACACUGCCA
rnacentral:rRNA from 1 species